rnacentral:misc_RNA from 1 species
AUAUGGGUGUUGAAGAAUUGGAAUUGAAGAAGAGCCACAUCUACCUGGGCCUUGACUUUCUUAAAGAGUAUCUGAAUGGAAGUCUACCUAAAUUCAUUAGUAGAGUAUACAGAGAGAAUCUAAAGGAUUCUGAAGAAAACCGGUCGGAGUUCCACCAGCAAAUAUGUCAGAAGAUUCAAGAAUGUGGCGUCGCAAGACUAAAAUCAUCUCUAACCGUUUCUGAUGUAAUCAAAGGUAUCAGCUUGCCAGCAAGCAUUUAUGAGAUUGCACUAGAAAGCAUUAGCAUCAGUUUGCCUAAUAAUCUUCUGGGGUUCACUUUCUCUGCCUUCUUGAGAUUCCCUGAAUUUCCCCUGAAACCGAAGAAACUUCCUCUAGAAUUUUCUGACAUUUUCGACAGACUAUGUCCUCUGCCUUUUCCCUUGCAUAAAUG